rnacentral:misc_RNA from 1 species
UGGAAUGUUGUUAAAAGUUUACGUUCCCAGUAGAAUAUUAGCUCAUGUUACUGUUGAAUUCAUAGCACAAGAGCAAUAACAAAAAAUGUAAGGGUGGGGAAAAAGAUUUGCUAAAACCAGAUGAUUACAUGUUAAAUUAGGGAACUAGCAGUUGCAGAAACGAUGGUCAUUGAGGUGCUAAAUGGGAGGGUGGGGAGUGGGAAGAGUGCUGAAAGGAGGAGACGAGAGAGAGAGACCGGACCACGCGAGCUCAGUACUACGGGGACCAUCGGCGUUAGCAGAGGUGGAAGUCUCUCUUCGUAGGAUGUAGAGGCGGCUUUUCGCACUCUAGAGGGCAGAAGGAGUAAUGAUGGCUGUCGUGACUCACGGUAUGCUGACAAUUUGAGUGAAAGGCACCGCAAUUUACGCUGGGUGGUUGUGCCUCGGUCGCCGCAGAUACCAUGCGGAAUGAAUCUCCGUGACUCGGGAAGUGUCGAUUCGCCAGCCUAAACAAAGCACUGGAGAGGCCUAACUAGAUGACCAUUAGUGAUUGUUCCCGAGAUGGUUUACAUUGGGUUCACCCUUCCAUACUUCACCAUUUGUGUUGCUGCUAAAGCUGCUGUCACCAUUGUCACUGCCACCCCUGUUGCUGCCGUUGGCGACAGGAAGAACGCUACACCAGUUUACCAGAUCCUCGGGAGUUGGCGGCGCUCCAUUCCUAGGCGUGGAUGACGCUGCUUUCUAAACUAAUAUAGUGACUUGUGGGCUGGCUGUUGCUGCGGUGAGGGGGACCUGGAAUGUUCUUUAAAGUUUACGUUCCCAGUAGAAUAUUAGCUCAUGUUACUGUUGAAUUCAUAGCACAAGAACAAUAACAAAAAAUGUAAGGGUGGGGAAAAAGAUUUGCUAAAACCAGAUGAUAACAUGUUAAAUUAGGGAAGUAGCAGUUGCAGAAACGAUGGUCAUUGAGGUGCUAAAUGGGAGGGUGGGGAGUGGGAAGAGUGCUAAAAGGAGGAGACGAGACAGACACCGGACCACGCGAGCUCAGUACUAUGGGAACCAUCGGCGUUAGCAGAGGUGGAAGUCUCUCCGUAGAUUGCUUCAUUGUCCUUCAGGAUGUAGAGGCGGCUUUUCGCACUCUAGAGGGCAGAAGGAGUAAUGAUGGCUGUCGUGACUCGCGGUAUGCUGACAACUGUUCCCGAGAUGGUUUACAUUGGGUUCACCCUUCCAUGCUUCACCAUUUGUGUUGCUGCUAAAGCUGCUGUCACCAUUGUCACCGCCACCCCUGUUGCUGCCGUUGGCGACAGGAAGAACGCUACACCAGUUUACCAGAUCCUCGGCAGUUAGCGGCGCUCCAUUCCUAGGCGUGGAUGACGCUGCUUUCUGAACUAAUAUAGUGAGACUUGUGGGCUGGCUGUUGCCGGGUAACAAGCUAUUUGUUCGAAAGAGUUCGAGAGACUCUUGACUUUUUUUUUUUUUUUAAAUAAAUUUUUAACUGGAA